UACGAAGGGGGCUAGCGUUGCUCGGAAUUAUUGGGCGUAAAGGGCUCGUAGGCGGUCUGUCGCGUCGGGAGUGAAAACUCAGGGCUUAACCCUGAGCCUGCUUCCGAUACGGGCAGACUAGAGGUAUGCAGGGGAGAACGGAAUUCCUGGUGUAGCGGUGGAAUGCGCAGAUAUCAGGAGGAACACCGGUGGCGAAGGCGGUUCUCUGGACGGUAACUGACGCUGAGGCGCGAAAGCGUGGGGAGCAAACAGG
rnacentral:rRNA from 1 species